rnacentral:rRNA from 1 species
AACGAACGCUGGCGGCAUGCCUAACACAUGCAAGUCGAACGAGACCUUCGGGUCUAGUGGCGCACGGGUGCGUAACGCGUGGGAACCUGCCCUUAGGUUCUGAAUAACUCCCCGAAAGGGGUGCUAAUACCGGAUAAUGUCUUCGGACCAAAGAUUUAUCGCCUUUGGAUGGGCCCGCGUUGGAUUAGCUAGUUGGUAGGGUAAAAGCCUACCAAGGCGACGAUCCAUAGCUGGUCUGAGAGGAUGAUCAGCCACACUGGGACUGAGACAUGGCCCAGACUCCUACGGGAGGCAGCAGUGGGGAAUAUUGGACAAUGGGCGAAAGCCUGAUCCAGCAAUGCCGCGUGAGUGAUGAAGGCCUUAGGGUUGUAAAGCUCUUUUACCCGGGAUGAUAAUGACAGUACCGGGAGAAUAAGCUCCGGCUAACUCCGUG